GCGGAGCUGCUGGCCCUGGGGUUGCCUCGACCUCCGCUCUGCACCCCACUUCUCUUCCUUCUCGGCCUCCUGGCGUGGACAGCCGGACAGGAAAUCAUUUAACUACAAAAGACUUGGAAAAUGGUUUUCAAAAGAAAACGACUGUCAAGCUCCGAGGAUAAAGAGAGCCAGAGAGAAUAUGGUUCCACCACGAAGAAACCAUUUUCCAAAACCACAGAGAAACUUCGUGCUCAAAAGGAAGAUGAACAAAAUGACAGUGUCUUUGUCACGCUUCUUAAGACUUCAGGAUUAACUCUUAAAACAGGAGAGAAUCAGAAUCAACUUGCUGUGGAUCAGGUUGUUUUUCAAAAGAAGCUUUUUCAAACUCUGAAGAAACAUCCUUCUUACCCCAAAAUAAUAGAAGAAUUUGUCUGUGGCCUGGAGUCUUACAUUAAGGACCGAGAAGUUUUCAGGAACUGUCUCUUGCCUUGUGAACGGUUGCAGGAAGAGGGAAGCAGCACGGAUAAUUCUUUCUGUAAGAGCCUCAUUAAAUUGCUUCUGGGGAUUGAGAUAUUACAG